CCUGCUGGUGUAGGUUCUUGGCCGGGUGCUCGCGGGAACGCGGAGGAGGUUACCGCGGGGCCCGCGACGACGCGGCGGUGGAGGGGCGCGCUGCGGGGAGGUGGAGCUCGUCCGGCCUCCGCCGCGGCUGCCCAGGUCGAGGCGGCGCCGCCCCCAGCUGGCCUUCCCGCUCCCCUGCGACGGCGGGUUCCAGUAGGGAAGAGGAGGCUCGAGGCGCUGCCGAGCUGGGGUUCGACCACAGGUCCGCCGGCAGCUGUUCCUCUUGUGCGCUACCCCUGUCGUCAAGUUGAGCGACGCGCGCCUUCCCCGCUACACAUCCUUCCUUGUCCUCUUUGAUAGUGUUCAUUUCUGACACCCUUUCCACUCUGGGUUCGUCCUGUUUGAAAAGAGUUUUUUCCCGCGGUUCGACCUGUUUGAUGACGAUCAUUUCCCCUUUAGCCGGGGCUCAGCCGAAUUCUCGUUCUUAAAAACAUCUUUUCCUUCCCCUUAUACCGGCCUUGUACACUUCGUGGUCUGUGAAGCGUAUAGACUUCAGUCUUCCGUGUUAUUCGAAUGAAGACUGCUCCGCUUGGUAGAACUACGAAUAAGUCUUACAUCUGGCCACUAACCUCUACCCCUCACAAAGAUGUCCUCGAAGUAUAAAAGCAUGGAACUCGUUCAAUAACUAUCCGUCCUGUGUGUACUCCUUGCGGCAGAGGAAUCUUCUCACAGAUGUGUUGCACGUUUAGAAGUUACCUUGAGACUCAAAAGGGCCUCGUCUUCUCUCUACGUGUUAACGAAUUGUCAUCACCGUAUGGCAGUGUCAAAAUGUGUUACAACCGUGUUUGAGUUUAAACUUCGAAUAACACUUCGAUUGUUGGGCUAACAUUGUUACUGGAAUUCUCUUUAAAUGAACGUUUCCUUGUUGCCGUUAUAUUGUCCCUUUAUUGUAUUAAAAUACGAACAAACUCGUGACGUUGUUACGUGUGGACGACCAAUAAUAACAUAUCAGUGGAGUGGUAAGAGCAAGACAAUGAUACGAUAUCAUAUACGAAUUACUGACUUCGAAGAGUCCCUCGACAGAAUCGACACAAGGAAAUAUAGAACGUUAACUAGUUAUAACACGUACAUAAUAACAUUGGAUACCAUACAUUACUAAUAGUUGACACUUAUUAACUCAACGACUAAGAAAGUCCGUAAAUUCCUCGACUAACUCUUGCAUUACUUUACCUUCUCUUGCCUUAGUUGAUCGUCAGCGGCAUUUCUCUUUGAAGACUUCAAGAAGUCGUGCAUACUAUACUGCGUUCUGUAAAAACAAAAGGAGUCUAAUGAUCAUCGAUAGGUCUAUACGAGCGUGUCCCUCCACAUACUUGGCUAAUAUGUUCCCGGGCCUCCUUUAAUGUCAGACCUUCAAACCACGAACGUCAUGCAGUAAGGUCGAGCACACAUGCGCCUGGUACAAUACUACCACCGAAACCGGUCUCGCGAACUCCAGGGGGAGUCUCACCUUAGUGAGGUUGCUCCUAUACGAGGUCUAUAGAUGUGACCAGGACCUCAAGGGGCAGGCUCGCACUGGGAGGACAUGUGUCCACUAGUGAUGCUGUAGUAGAUGGGUGCGCGAGGAAGACGACUCCAAAGUUCAGUGGCCCGAAGGGUCUCUCUUGUAGGACCACCAGUCUUAAGUUCAGUAUUCCGAAGGGUCUCUUUUGUAGGACCACUAGUCUCAAGUUCAGUUGUCUGAAAGAUCUCUCACCAGUCUCAAGUUCAGUAGUCCGAAGGGUCUCUUUUGUAGGACCACUAGUCUCAAGUUCAGUUGUCUGAAAGAUCUCUCUUGUAGGACGACUAGUCUCAAGUUCAGUUGUCUAAGGCGACCUAAUUUCAACUCAACCCGACAACGUCAACUUACUCUCAUAACGACUCAAAUCACCAUCUCAUCUACGUGGCUACUUCAACCCCAUCCAUAUGGUAUACCAAUGAACACGUAAGAAGAAGACAACCGUAAGACACUAGUGUAAGCUUAAAGAAUUAACACAAAAGCUUUAAACUUGUACCCGUACUAUAGCCAACUAAAAAACCCAUACAAUACCUUCUGUGUUUAUAACG
rnacentral:rRNA from 1 species